rnacentral:rRNA from 1 species
CGAUGGAUCCGCGUCCGAUUAGCCAGUUGGCGGGGUAGAAGCCCACCAAAGCGACGAUCGGUAGCCGGCCUGAGAGGGCGGACGGCCACAUUGGGACUGAGACACGGCCCAAACUCCUACGGGAGGCAGCAGUGGGGAAUAUUGCACAAUGGGGGGAACCCUGAUGCAGCGACGCCGCGUGGGUGAAGGAGUACUUCGGUACGUAAAGCCCUAUCAGCAGGAAAGAAAAUGACGGUACCUGACUAAGAAGCCCCGGCUAACUACGUGCCAGCAGCCGCGGUAAUACGUAGGGGGCAAGCGUUAUCCGGAUUUACUGGGUGUAAAGGGAGCGUAGACGGCAGUGCAAGUCCGGAGUGAAAGCCCGGGGCUCAACCCUGGGACUGCUCUGGAAACUGUAAGGCUGGAGUGCGGGAGGGGCAGGCGGAAUUCCUGGUGUAGCGGUGAAAUGCGUAGAUAUCAGGAGGAACACCGGCGGCGAAGGCGGCCUGCUGGACCGUAACUGACGUUGAGGCUCGAAAGCGUGGGGAGCAAACAGGAUUAGAUACCCUGGUAGUCCACGCCGUAAACGAUGAUUACUAGGUGUCGCGG